AGCUCCAAUAGCGUAUACUAAAGUUGUUGCAGUUAAAAAGCUCGUAGUUGAAUUUCUGGUCUGGGACAGUGGUCUGCCUCGAACGAGGUACGCACCUUUUGUCUGAGUCCAUCCUCGGAGAGAACGUGUCUGUCAUUAAGUUGAUGGGCUCGGAAUCUUCGUCAUUUACUGUGAGCAAAAUAGAGUGUUCAAAGCAGGCUUAUGCCGAUGAAUACACUAGCAUGGAAUAAUAAGAUAGGACCUUGGUCUAUUUUGUUGGUUUGUACUCCAAGGUAAUGAUUAAUAGGGACAGUUGGGGGUAUUCGUAUUUCGUUGUCAGAGGUGAAAUUCUUGGAUUUACGAAAGACGAACUACUGCGAAAGCAUUUACCAAGGAUGUUUUCAUUAAUCAAGAACGAAAG
rnacentral:rRNA from 1 species